UACGGAGGGAGCAAGCGUUGUUCGGAAUCACUGGGCGUAAAGGGCGUGUAGGCGGCUGGAUAAGUGGGAUGUUAAAUCCCCCGGCUCAACCGGGGACCUGCAUCUCAUACUGUUCAGCUCGAGCACAUCAGAGGAGACUGGAAUUCCCGGUGUAGCGGUGAAAUGCGUAGAUAUCUGGAGGAAUACCGGUGGCGAAGGCGACUACCUGGCCUGUUCUUGACGCUGAGGCGCGAAAGCUAGGGGAGCAAACGGG
rnacentral:rRNA from 1 species